ensembl:snRNA U6 U6 spliceosomal RNA
GUGCUCACUUCAGUGGCAUAUGUACUAAAACUGAAGUGAUAAAAAGAAGAGUAACAUGACCCCUGCCCAAGAUAACAUGCAAAAUUCAUUAAGUGUUUCAUAUUUUU